ensembl:lncRNA
UACGGGGACGCAGAGCCCCUCCAUGUGAGCUACUGUUCUGGGAACACUGGUACCAAGGACACCCCUUGGCAAGCAUGCAGCCUUUGUUCCUCUGCCUACUUAAGCAAGCUUCUCUUGGGGGCAGUUGUGGGCGUACACAUACUUUUGUCCUUCUGGCUGCCACUGGACAUGUUCUUGUAAGUAGGACCCAAUAAACCUAUAUGGGUCGUUCGCAGUCUCUGGGUUGUUUCUUCGGUCUUUCGGCACAAUAUCCUGCCAUUCUAGCCCAGCUGGACCUGUGGAGGAACAAGGGUUAUCUUCCUCUUCCAAGUUCAUGGAAAAGUGCAUUACCCAAAGUACCUGAGAAAGUCCUCAGGCCUACAAAUGCUGUGACAUAGGAUGUAUUCUUGUGAACUCUGUUGCAAAUAUCCCAGUACCUGGGUCAUCUUGCCCUGGAUAUUUUGGGUAAGAUACUCCUUCACCAUCCCAGGAAUACUCAAGAUCAUGGAGUGCCUUAUGAAAUGAUUGGAUGGUUGGUUGGAUGGAUGGACAAGUGGAUGGAUAUUUUCGACAUUUGGUGAUGCUCUAAAUGGAAUCUUUUCAAAUUUCUUGUCAAAGUGUAGCAUAUUCACAGAUUUUACUCACAGUAGGAUGCUGCCACAGCAUGGUGUGAUGAGUCAUGUGUGGGUCUGUGCCUGGGAUCUGAAUCCAUGAACCCUGGGCCACUGAAGUGGAGCAUGCGAACUUAACCACUAUGCCACCUGGCCGGCCCCAGGACAUACGUAAUUUUGAUGUGUGGGUGCGCUUCACGGAAGGACAUGAAUUGUUAAGUGCCGUACGCGGCUCCAAGCCACAGGGGCAGUGUAAUGCAGACUGAGGCUCUCAGGACUGGCUUCCUGGGGCUGCAUGUGUGGUGCUUCAAAGAUGCAGGGGAGGAAGAACGGGGUCACCAUAUUUAAACACCCCAAGUAUAAACAACAAUGCUCACCACCAUUCCCAUUAUUCAGUGAAGACUAUUAAUAAACAUUCAAGUUAUAGAAACUAAUAUACAAGCAGAAUUGAGCAAAUUAGGUAGGCAAAUGGGAAAACUGGACUUCUUUCUCCAAUUAACCACCAAAUGUUGGAUAUUAUCUUGAUAUAAAUAGACUACAUAUCCAGCCUUCAGAAUUAAGACUUUCUUUCUUUCUUUUUUCCUGUGCAUCUAUCUAGAUAACUUUAAAGAUUAUUGUUGCUAAUUCCCCAUAUUCUUUUUGCUUAUAGCCUUUUAGAAUACCUAAUCAGAACUCAUAGUGGUCCCUUGGUAAAUAAAAGUGAGGCAUAUUGGAAUUGUUAAAAAGAAUUACUGGUCUUGGUUCUAACAAAUGUAAGAUGAUCAGAAAUUACUGAAGGUGCAUCAUAUUUUGUGUGUCACGUAAGAUAUAUUAUUUUGGAAAAGACAGACAUCAGAUGCCCCCUCCCUCCUCAUCCUGCCCUCAGCCCCCACGACCACACAGGUGCUAUACAGGUAGAAGGAAAGGUUCCUGUGAUCUAUAUAAAGUAGGUGAAAAUGUAUUCCUUUGAGAUGAGCUUGAAGUAUUACAUUGACCUUUCUCCUGAUAAGUCCCUUGGCUUCACAGGUGUAGCAUUUCUCUCUUGAUACUACACACUGACAUUUUAACAAUUACAAUGGGACUUCCCUGAACUGGGAAUAUUGUGAGUGCUACAAUUCUUAGGAUCUUGUCACCCUUCACCACCCUGGAGAGGGGGAGAGAGAUUCUCUAUUCCGUUAUUAACAAUUUUUCAUAGUGGGUGGAGAUCCUAAUGUGAUUGGUAAGCUUGAUGUAUUCAUGGGGCCACAUUUUACCAGUGGGUCAGGUCAGGUCUCAGAGUUGGAGUCAGCUUUGAGGACAUCAAUUUAGGAUAGAGGAAAGUCUGAUUUAGCUUUGCAAGCCUAAGUUUAACUCUACAGCAACACAUUCUAAUGAACACCCACAGGCCGUGGGCAGGGGCUGUUCAUUGUGUAUUUGCUCAGUCAUUAAGAAACUAGUUAUUGUUCUAGUGUUUAUCACCCCUUCAGCAGAAUCAGGGAAGGGAGGAGGUGUGACUGGCAGGGGUGAUAAACUAAAAUCGCCAUAGCAAAGUAGAGAAGGGUUUUGGACUAUUAUGAAUCCUUAUUUCCUUGAAGCGUGAUGGCGAUAAUGCUUUGUCAACCCUUGUGAUGCCAGCAGGCAUUCUGAGUUCUAUAAAGUUUUCUAUGAUUCAGGAAGCCAGACUAAUUUCUGUCUUCACAAUGUUACCCCAUAACUACUGGGUUGGUUCUAUUUCUGGUAUUACAGACACUUGAAGAUAUAGACAGGAAUAGACUAAGACUCAAGUUCUGGAUACAUUUACAGUCUAUUUGGGGAAAGAAGACAAAAACAUAAAAUAAAUAGAAUACAAGGCAGCAUUCGUUAGCUUUCAGAUGAGUAGAAGAAAAAAAUGUGUUGUAACUGUUCAAAGGGGUGGGUGGCAUUUGUGGACUGGUGUGGGGAGGAAAAGUCUGAUCCACGGAAGACGGGCAAUAAUUGAUAGAAUUCAACUAGGCAACUAGCACACACCAUUGGCGGGAGUUUAAACUGGUACAGCCACUUAGGAAAGCGAUUUAGCAAAAUCUCUUAAAAUUGUUUAUGGGCACAAUUUUCCAUCCAGCAAUAGUUCUUGUUAGAGGCUACCCUGGGAAAUAUUCACACGCUCACACAAGGAGACAUGUCUGAGGAUGUUAACGGUAGCGGUGGAUAUAGCAGUGCACACUGGGAACAACCUAAGGGAAUAAGCUCACAUGUAGCCGCAUCACAGAAUCCUCUGUGGGUUUGAAAAACAAUCAGAUCACUCUACGUUAAAAACAUGGAAAAACAUCCAAGAAACGAUGUUAAAUAAACAAAGUCACAUGCAAUCUGAUCUUACUUAGGUUUAGAAAAACAUAAAAUAACAUGUAUGUAAAUGAAAAUACCUAGAAAAAGUAGGAGGAGACGCACUAAAUUGUUGGCAUUGGAUUCGUUUAGGUAAAGACCUCGGACUGGGCAUAAGUUUAAAUGGGAUAUAAGCUUUAGCUCAAUAUGUAUUUACAUUAUUCAGAUAGUUAAAUUUUUAUGAAACAAUUUUUUUUAUGAAGAGUUCAAAUAGACAGAAGGAGAAGCUAGGAAGAGCUUCUCUGGUGCAGGAAGCAGUAAGGUAUCUGAGAAAAUACGCAAAUGUGUGUCCACCCCCUCAAAUAAUCCUUAACUCCUUGUUGCCCACCCUUCCAGUCUAGCUCCUCUCAGGUUUUGCCGUCUAAAAGGCAAACGUGACUGAGUUACUCCCCUGCGUAAAAGGACAAAGAUCGAACUCAACAUGCCAUCCAAGGGCGUCAGGAAUCUGACCUUAUUCUCCUCUCCAGUUCAUUUCUCUCCCAUCGCUUUCCUGCAUCUUCAACUCCAGCUAAACCAAAUCACUUGCAGUUUUGUGCCUAUACCACACUAUCUGUACCUCCAUUAUUUGCCCAUGCCCCUGGAAAGAUGCUCUCUGCUUCUGCCACCUAGUAAUCCUCAAGGCUGUCAAGUCCCAUGUGAAGAUUUUCCUAAGAGCAUCACCUCUCUCACUGUGAAUUUCCAUCUCCUUCCUUUUUGCCUGCAUUUUAGGCUGCAGGCAAAAUACUUCUAUUACCUACAUCACUGUCUUGGACUUAUUUUUCAAUGCCCAAACUUUAAUAAACUUUGGUGGUUUAAAUUCUUUGAGUAGGGGCUACAUACGGCAGAAAUUCAUUCACUUACUCCCGCUUUCAUUUAAAAAACAAUUGAGUGCCUGUUACAUUCCAGGCAGUGUGCUAGGUGCUGGAGAAUGCAAAAUUGAGGAAAACAUGAUCACAUCCUCAAGAAUCUUAUAAUCUAGAGGUAAAGGAAGAAAUGAAUGGAGAGGUUAAAAGAAAAAUUAAGAUGAUGUUAUGCCAUGGGGAGGGGUACUUCGCAAAAGAGGACGUGGUGGACAUUUGAUGUUGCUUUGGCUGCCUACUUCCAUUCCUCCCAUUUCCUAAUAGUGCCUGAUUUUCCUACAGGAAGGACUUCACUAGAUUAUGUCUGGCUCGCCCCAGCCCAACAGAAGGCAAGUAUUCCAAGCAAGACCGGACACCCUGUUCACUCCUGCCAUUAUCAUCUUGAGUAGAGGUACACGAGGACAAAUGUUUUGGUCACUUCCAAGGCAACAGCAGCUCCAGACUGCGCCAGCCAAGUAGUUUCUGCAAGUGUUUCUUUUCCUGUCCUGCUUCCAGCCCCAGUCUCCUGCUUCUCUCCAUUCUGUGAGGUAUCAGGCAUCCAAUCAUAUUUCUCUUUUUGCUAUAAUUUCCCAGGGAGUUAGUUUCUGUCAUUUGUGAUCUGUAACUCUGAUACCCUGGGCAAGCAGUAGCCAAUGCCACAGAGUAGUCAAAGGUUCAAAGCCUGAAUAACAGCAUUUGGAUUCCAUAUAGAAGGUCUCAAUGCAAUUCAGGUUUGAAGUUGGGUCAUAGGUUGAUUACAGGGGUGCAGCCAGCGCUGCUCAUCCCACCAUGCCUGACUGUUCUUUCUCUUGUGGUUAGUUGCAUUUUUGAAGAUUUGGAUAAAGAAGGAGAUAAUGAAUUCCAAGGAAUUAAUUUCUCCAUAGGCUGAAUGGACCUAUUGGUAGCUGUCAAAGUCCACUAAUAUAUGAGUCAUUUUUAUAGAUAGGAACAACCUGGAGCCGGCAAGCUUGCUUUGUAAGCCUUUCUUAGGUGCUGAAUCUCUUCAGAAUUUGUCUUACCUGAGCAAGAGUUUUUUUUUUUUUUUUUCAAUUGGCUAGUUUAUUGACUUGGGCUUGUUUUGGGAACCAGUCAACGAUUAAUAUGGCUUUUAAAUGCCUCAGGAAUUCAAGGAGAUGGAAGAUGUCUGGGUCCCUGAUUGACUUCACGGAACAAACCUUUCCCCACUGCUCACUUCUGACAUAAGCAGAUGGCUUGAGUGAGCCAUCCAGUCUUACACUUUCCUUCUUUGCACUUGUACCUGAGGGCAGGACGGUGGCUGAGGCUCUAUAUAAGUUCAAGUUUAGUUAAGACAAAAACACCUGUAAAUUAAUCAUUUAGUUCCCUAUUAAGUGUUGAUUAUCAGUGAGAAUGGAGACACUUUGUUUUGCUAGGUGAGCUCCCUCCGAACUGCCUGUCUCAGAGGUGAUCCAUCAAAGUACUUCUCCUCUAGGAAACAUUGUCCAAUCCUACUUCCGACCAGGUAUGAUUUUUCCUCCCCCUCCUCUUGACCCUCCUGCCCUCCACUAAAUUGUCAAAGCACUUUUAUGGUGUUGAGGUUAAGUGCUCUGACUUUAGAGGCAGAGAGAACUGUGGUUCAAAUCUAUGGCUCUGCUGCCUCUGUGCUGUGUGACCUAGGGAAAAAUUCUUCACUUCUCUGAACCUCAUUUUUGUCCUCUACAAAUUUGGUAUAAUAACUAGCUCAUAGUGUUUACUUUGAAGACGAAAUAAGAAAACAGACGUUAAAGGAACAUAGUUGGCCAUGUAGCAAUUUAGUUAUUGAUGGUUGUUUUUGAUGAUUAUUAUUUAUGUAUUCAUUGUUGAUAAUAUUCGUUAACAAUCUCUUUCACAGCACUUACCAAAAUCUAUAAUAUUCUUGUUUAUUUGUUUUCUCCCCCAGGAGAACAUAAAAAGCUUUAUUCUUGUGUGUUUUGUUCAUCAUUGUAUCCCAAGUAUACAAAACAAAGUAGGGCAAAUAUUUGUAAGAUAAGCUUUUGCAAGUGCUGUUAUUCUAUUAUUCUGCCUCAUGUUAUUGCUGUUCUAGACCACGAGGCCGACAUUAUUCAUGCACGCAUGCUGAGAACCUAGCACAGUGUUUGGAAGAGCGUAGACACGCAGCAUCUAUUAUUAAAUGAAUGAAGAAACUAAAGCUGCAUCUGUCCCAAUUAUCCUUCUAAUUAGAAACUUUCUUCAUGACAGACACUGUGGCUUAUCUUUGUAUCCAUGGAACCUAAUAGGUGUCCAGUAAACAUUUGCUGAAUUUGUUCUGUGAAAAUUGAGAGGAGAGAUUUGUGACUUCAUUACAGAAUUGCAAUGAGCUGAGUUCAUUUCUGCCAGUUCUUCUAUGUUCUGUCUGCCUUGGUUUAUUUCUGGUCUCUAUUGUGGAACCUGGUGUGAGAAUCUAACAACAGGAAGACAAGAGGGAUUAAGAUUAACUCAAUAAGUACUGAAUGAUUGUUCCCAAUAAACCAACAAUAGUCCUUCCUAAUUCCUAUUCAGCCCCCACAACUGCAUCAUGGCAGGUGAGAGAAGUCAGUCACAUUCUGUCCCCGCUUCUUCAGCCGUCAUGAAUAUGCCAGUGAAAAACCAGUAGUGUCGAGGACAGACCAGAAGGCGUAGAUAACUCCCGUAAGAGGGGACCCGGAAGGAGGGGCUGGCUUUCACUGGGAGCGGUGGUGCUAUAAUAGGCUGAUUAUGUAAACACAUGAGUCUUGGGCCCUUUUAAACACCAGCUCAUUUAGCUGCUCUCUUUCCCACAAAAGACUGCUUUCUGUCACUGUGCAGGGUGGAAAGGAAGGGAGAAGUCUGACAUCAAAGGGAGCUGACUGCUCCUUUCAGCAUCCGGGACAAUUCCUCUGAUUGCUUUACCCACCAAAUGGCUCUCCCUUCACCAUCAAUGGGUAGGACCUGGCUAAUGCUCUCCGGUCAAGACAUUGCCCAGGAGUAACCAACAAUGUCCACUAGAAUGAGGAACAGUAAUUGCAAAAAUGAGCUGCCUGAAUUAAUAACCCAAUUAAUACUUAACUUGCAAUAACUAGUUAACUCUCACCCUCUCUUACUCCUUUGAACAGGCACCUUAGAGCAGGAUGACCUGAAUGACAUUGUAAUCCCAUUGAAUGAAAUUGUAAUCCCAAUUCUGCUAGGCUCCAGGAUCACUACAAAGGUCCCUUACUAGUUGUGUGACUUUGAAAAAGUCGCUAAACCUCUCUGGGUCUUAGCUGUAAAUAUAAUGUUAUACCUGCCUGAAGAUGCCAGGCUUGGCUUGGUCUUUUGAUGUCUCUUGCGCCUCUCACGUUGUCAUACCAUGAAAACACUCCGGAUAGUCCCAGUCUAGAGUAGUUGUGGGGGGUUAAAUGGGGACAUAUUGGUGAUAUUCUCAGUUGACCCCACUCUCCUUUCAAAAUUUUCCCCAAAAUGUUGGUUAUGUGGAGAUAUAAAGAAACAUCAUGUCAGAGCCACAUGCAGGUUGAUAAAAAGUAAAAAAUACAGAAGGGCUCUGAACAAGUCCUUGCAGCAGUGUCCUCUCAGGUGGGAACCAGAGAACCUAAAAGGUGCUUGAAUGACAAGUACAGGCACAUUUGUAGCAGUGUAAUCUUAACAGCCUGCAACUGGUGGUAACUCGUGUCCACCAAUGUAAGAAUGGAGUGAGAAAUUGUGAUGUAUUAACACAACGAGGUAAUGAAAGGAACAACAUGGAUCAAUCUUACAGACGUUGGGCUGUGUGAAAGGAAGACGGGGGGCGUUUUAGAUAUUGACUUGAAUAUUGACUUGGCUGUGGGGUUAUAGAAAUGUUCUGUAUCUUGGUCUGGUGGUAGGUAUUUGAGUGUUUUUAGGUAUAAAAAAUCACCAAGCUAUAUACUUAAGAUUUGUGCACUAAAUGUAUGUUACAUCCUCAUAAAAGUAUGUGUAUGUAUACAUACUGAUAAUUAUUCAGUAAUUUGGAAUAUAUAUGCACGUGUAUAUACAUAUAUAUGCAUACAUGUAUAUGUUUUCUUUUUCACAUGGAGGGAAAUAUAAAGAGGAAUAAAGUGGUCUCAACAAAUCCCACAGUAGUAUUACCAACAAGAAAGGGCAUUUGGAUUUAGAUGCUUAGAGGCUCGAUUACAUUUAUUGUUAUUAGGAAAUUAUUUCUGAGGAAGGCCAACCCCUACUAAAUUGCUAAUCAGUCUCUGACUAGUGCCCCUGAGGUGCACUAUGAGUCAAAUGAAAUUUAUUGUGACAGGAUCGAAUCGUAUUGACAUCUCAGUAGCGGUCUCUGUGCCUCAUCAGUUAGCACAGGAAAGAGUAUAGGAAAUAUCAAUCACAGAAGCUCAUUCAGAACCAUCUUUUAAAACGUGGAAUCUGUGUGCUAAAAACACAGCGAAGUUCAUUAAUUAGGAGGUGGUGGAUGCCUCUCUGUUUUUUUUUAAAUCAUAUGAUUUGAUUUAUCUUUUGACUCAUAAUUUAAGGCCACAAAAGAAAAUUAUUAUCAGCAACAAUUUUUUUCAAACUUUUAAAUGUAUGUAGAUCUAGAACUUUCCCGUCCUCAACUUUCUAAAGAAACACAGAAUGCUUUUUCUCAGGAGGAAUACUUUGUAGAAAUGCUAAGAAAACAACGUAUUUUUCCCAAUAAAGAGCCUUUUUGCCAUUCCUCAGGUUAGUGUUCAACUCAUUGUAUGUCCACAAAGAAAGGCACCACAAUUGCACUGAGGUUAUGGUGCGAGGAAAUAAAACUGUUUUUAAGGUAAUUCUUUGCUGUUCUUUGAUACGAAAAAACCUUCAGAGGGGAUUGAUCCCCAUCGUGUUUUACAAAUGAGGAAGCUGAAGCCAGAGAGGUAGUCACCUGCCCGAGGUCAUCCAGUUAGGGUGGUUCUCAAAGCACCCUUCCGGGACCAGCAGCCUCACUAUCACCCUGGAACGCGUUAGGAAUGCUAAUUCCCAGUCCCUACCCCAGACAUGCUGAGUCAGAAGCUCUGAGGAUGGGCCCAGCAAUCUACGGUUUAACAGGCCCUCCAGGUGGUUUGAAUACAGCUAAAAUUUGAGAACCGUUACCAGUUGUUAGAGGGGAAAAUAAAAGUUUAACAGCGAGAACCCACUUCUCUUCGCUGGAAGUCCUAUUUUUCCAUAACUCCUAGUGACAAAGCCAGAAAUAGAGCCCAGUAGGAAACGGAAACUUAUUCCCGACCACAACUUAGACAAUCUCAGAAAACUCUUAUUAUUUAUAUUGCAUUAAGGGGGCCUUUGGGGGAAGCUGGGCUCCCCACACUAGUAACAAUAGGAUUGUAGGCAAAAAGCGAAAUGAAUCAAUUUAGUGAAAUCUUUUUAGAUAUGGGAAGUGCACCUUAUUUUUAGUGAUUUUUGACUGGGGUACUCAAUAUUUACAAGGAUUCCUUAUAGAAUAUAUGUAGGCUCCUCUAGAGAUCUAAAAUGCUUAUUCCCAGUGCAAUUCAUGCUUCGCUGGUUUUGCUUUACCGGUGUGAUCUUUGGAAGCCUAUGGGCCAAACUCCUUGUCCUUUUCUUGGGUCUCUCCCAGAGCUCACAUAUGGAUGACAGGCAGGUGCCCAGAAUGAAUGGAAGACAAGCAGCAAUGUUCUUGAUAACUGGGAACCACAGGCCCAUCUAAAGGGGACAGUUCUUUCUCACUUCUGGCCAGUUGUUGCCGCAUUGGAAUACAGACUUAGCAUUGUCAAAUCUUCCAGCUUUUCAUAGGGACCAGAAAUCUGAUUUUUCGGGGGGAAAAUUCCAGGUUUUUAAAUGUUAGCAAUAAGUUCAUAUUUUUAGACACCAUGCAUGCCAAAUACAAUGUACGUGUGGGCCACAAUUCGUGACCUCUGCUAUAUAGUAUAUAACACACUGUGAGUGAGUGAUGGUCAGAUUUGGCCAGAGAGCACUCUCUACCUGGAGUUAAGGCAGGUAGUUGUUAACUUUGAGAGCAUAGCCUCAGUUUACUAAAACUUUCCACCAGAAAUGCCCUGGCCCUGGCGAACAUGCAGACGUUAUAGUGUGACCAUAUGUGGGUUUCAGGAUGGGUUAGACCUUGUCUUCCUCUGUGACCCUUACUCUAACUAGUCAACACCACUUUUUUGGGGUUUCUUCUUUUCUGAACUUUUCAUAUCACUCUUAGGCCAGUUUGAUGUUACUCUCUCUGACACCAUUUCUAACAUCAUCGUCACAAACACUUAAGGGAGUUGGAGUUGACAGGCGCAUUAGAAGUGCUCUGGGCCAGGUGCCUUACUUCCAUGUGAGGUGACACAGGUGAGAGUAAAUGCAAUGACCAGACUGGGAUCAACAACUAGUUAUGGCACAGCAGUAGGUGUGGAACCUGGGACCUGAGUCUAAUUCCUGGUUCUUUACAGCUGGUCAUGCAGUGCCAUCUGCUCUGAAGGGACUGUUGACCCUUCAGAGAUGCAGGAAGGGGGUCCAGAUUCGGAAGACCUCCAAGCCAUUUAGCGUCAAUUUCUGAUGCACACAGUGAAAAACAAUAACAAUCCAAUAACCCUACCCCCACUGAGGUGAUGGACUAAUAAGAAGAUAAUACUAGCUUUCCAAAAGGAAAUGCAUUAUUUAAAUUACCAUCAAUUUCCAGCUUAUUUAUUGUCUUCUAUGCCAUAAUUUUGUUCAGUGAAACACGAUAAAAUAGUAUAUAUUGGUAGACGCUGAAAUGUAGUAUCACCACAUUGUAAUACUUUUUCUGUGGGGAGAUUUUAGUUACUGUUCGUUUCCUGAUAGGUUCCUUCGUGGAGUAAGAGUAGUUGGUCUUACAUACUGCACUUUUUAAUAGUCAUUUUAUUAUUUUUAAUUUAAAAAUUAGCCUCUGAACUAUGAAAUCUAAUUUCUAAAAGGGAUAUAAAUUAUUAUCUACUUCAGUGUCUUCCAAACUUUCAGCUGGGGAAUCUAUUCUUCAAGUGAAAUGUUUUGAGGCUGCCCGAUACAUACACAGAGCUGAAGCAAUAGCGAGGGUUCCAGAGCCUCUCCCGCGACAACUUCCCCUAAUGUUCUUUCUUAGACAGUUUUGCUGCAUAAACCCCCACAAUCUUGGUAGCUUACACCAACAAGCAUUCGUUCUCAUGAGAUUCUGCUGAUCUAGGCCAGGCUUAGCCAGGUGACUCUCCUUCAGACUGUCAUCUGGGCUGGGCUUCAGGUUGUGGGUUGGACUCAGGUCUGCUCUUCCACAUGUCUCAUGUGUGUCCUGGGUUAAAGGGGCAGGCAAUACCAGGGAGAAGCUGUUCUUAUGGCAGAUUAUGAAGUUUAAGAGGGCAGGCUCUACGCCAGGCACGUUUCAAGCCUCUGAUCACAUCAUAUCGACUAGCGUCUCAUUGAUCAAAAUAAUUCCCAUGGCCAAGUCCGGACUCAAGGUGCAGGGAGGAGCACCCUACUCACCAUGAGAGUGCUGCAAAGGUGUGUAUACACAAUUCUAUUCCAGGAGAAUGGAGAAUUUGGACCAUAAAUUCAGUCAACCAUGUAUGUAAUCCUACCCCUUGGUGAUCUCUGAGUCAACUCUGUGUAACUCAUAAAACAACAUCAAGCAGUUCAAAAACCAUGCAUAGAGUCCAACCAUCUCAUUUUACAAAUGGGCAAAAUUGAGACUAGUGGUUCCUCAACGCCACACAGCUAGAGACAGGUCUUGAACGCUGAUGAACUGACUCAAAGUUCAGGACUUUCUCCACCACACUGUAAUAGCUCUACCUUCAAAAAAUGGCCGAGUCACUUGAAUUAAAUAGCAAUAUUGUAGAUAUAAUUUUGAAUAUACUGAGCUGUCUUAAUUUUGCUGGUUGGUCUAGAAGUCUAUUUAAUACAGAGACCAGAAGAUGGCCUGAGCACAGUGCAGGAAGUUGGGCCACAUUCCUCCAAGAUCUGGCAUUUAGUGACCCUGUAACCUUGCACACACUAUUUGCUUCUUUAAGCAUCUUUUCUAACAUUUGUCAAAUAGGAUAAUAAUGAUGCCCUCAGACAGUCGUUGUGAGAAUUAUCUGAUACUCAAUAAUUGUGAGGGUUUGUUUUUCCAUUUUUUAUGGUUUAUCAUUCAGUAACCAAGAGCUAUGCCUUCCUUUUCUUGUGCACUGUUAGGAAACUGAAAUAUUGUUUUUCAAGAGGAUAUCCUCCUUAUUGAAGACAUAAAUAUUACAGAAAGAAGGUUAAUCACUUCUCCAUGUAGAAAAGGGCAAAAAGGUCAGUCUCUUUGCCCAAUUCCCAAGGUUUUUCUAAUAUGGAAUUGCCUAAGAUACCAGCAAAAUUGAAAUAACUGCUUUGAAGUCGAAUUCCAGAUACAAUAUGUGUUUAGUAAUUCCUGUAACAGACAGCAAAAUUCAAAAGGCUUUAAUAAUUUAUUCUGAGUGGAAUGCUUAAAGGCCAUUUGGUCAGCAGGGUGCCUACUGGACAUGUAGCUGGUGUGCUUUCUCCAUUUUUUCUUGGUGGUCAGAUGGCAUGAUCAGAACCUCUGUGACAUGUUUGUCUUACUUAAAUCUUUUAUCACCUUGCAUUGCUCUUUUAUCUUGAAACUAGUACUUUUCCUGCCAUGAAAAUGUAUCUAUUUAUUAGUCUGUCAAAAUGUCUAUAAACAUUAGAUUGCUUUUGAAGAGCAAAUGCCUAAUUUGUGGAAAGAAAAUGUUUAAAAACGCUUCCCCCGUAACUUCUUUCUGUAAAAAUUUUGAUAAAUGUAAUUGUGUUCAUAGGGUAUAUUAACACCAACCAGGUGUAGUAACUUAAAUUAUCUGGUGAUUGAAAUAUUUUGUGAAAAUCACUCUAUUGGCUAAAAUAAAAGUCAUAAUGGAGAUUCCUAUAAAUGCAUUUCCUCAAAAUACAAAUAUAUGGCUCAAUAUUUUGCAAACAGUCAUGUAUCCCGGCUGUUUAUAGCAUCUGCUACCUUGAAUUAUGUAGUUCAAAUAUAGCUUCUCUUCCACCUGGGAAUUUCCAGAGAUCCUUUUUUCUUUCUUGAGCUCAAUAACAAAACUUCACAUAAUGUUGGGUAGAAGGCUAUCUAGAGAGUUAUUUGAGUAUAGAUAAUAUUUGUAACUAUACAGACACUCUGGCUCAUAGUCUGUGUUAUACUAAAAGAGGAGCUCUACUAAGAAAUUCGAGGAAAGGGGAAGAUUUGAAUCCAUUUUCAAUAUUGGUACUUUCUGCCCCACCAUAUUCACAUGUACUUCUCCAUUCAUUUAUUUGCUACCUUUCAUUGGCCCCACUGGAUCUAUUUAUCAGAAUAUUCUUCUUGGUGUUCCAUGACUAUGAGUAACAAAGGGGCUUCUGGCUUCCAAACUGAUUUUUUUUUUUUUUUUUUAAAGAUUUUAUUUUUUCCUCUUUCUCCCCAAAGCCCCCCAGUACAUAGUUGUAUAUUCUUCGUUGUGGAUCCUUCUAGUUGUGGCAUGUGGGACGCUGCCUCAGCGUGGUCUGAUGAGCAGUGCCAUGUCCGCGCCCAGGAUUCGAACCAACGAAACACUGGGCCGCCUGCAGCGGAGCGCACGAACUUAACCACUCGGCCACGGGGCCAGCCCCCCAAACUGAUUUUUUAAAUUAAAAUUUCAUUGAAAUUGUAACACAUGUAUAGAAGAUUGCACAAUUAAUAAGUGUGAAUUUUGAAAAAGUGAGCACAGACGAACAACCAUCACACAGAUCAGGAAGUAGAAAAGCAACAACACUCCAAAAGCCAUCUUCACGCUCCUUCUGGUUACUGACUCCCAAAAGUUAACCCUAGCCUGACUUCUAAUUCCAUAGGUCGGUUUUACUUCUGAAAUUUUUAUAAAUAGAUUCAUAUGAUAUGUCCGUUUUGGUCUGAUUCAUUUUGUUCAAAAUUUCAUUUAUGAGAUUCAUUCAUUUUGUUACCCAUAACACUAAUUGACUAGUUCACAUUGCCAUGUAGAUUAUGUAUUUGACUAAAACACAAUUUAAUUAUUGAUUCUAUUCUUUAUAGGCAUUUGGAUUGUUUCUAGUUUUUUUGAUGUUUUCUUGUGGCUGUUACAAAUAGCGCUGCCAGGAAUAUUUCAAUGCAUGUUUUUAGUGAACAUGUGUAUGAAUUUCUGUUGGUUAUACAUGUAGGAGUGGGAAUGUUACGUCAUGAGUUAUGAAUAUGUUCAACUUUGGUAGAUACUACUGUACAGUUUUCUAAAGUGGUUGUACCAAUUUUCACUCACUCCUCCAGCAGUAAAAGAGAAGACUAGUUGCUCCACACACUUGUCAACACUUAGCAUUUUCAAUCUUUUCAUUUUAGGCAAUCUGGUGGGUGCAUUUUCUUGAUUAAUAAUGAUGUCAAACACCUGUUCAUAUAAUUCAUAUGAUGCAUGUGAUUCAUAUAAUUCAUAUGAUAAUUCAUAUAAUUAUAGGCUGUUCAUAUAUCUUCCUCAUAAAGUGACUAUUUAAGUGUUUUAUCCAUCUUUCUAUUUAAUUGUCUGAUUUUUUCUUGCUAAUUAGUGGUAAUUCUUAAUAUAUUCUGGCUAUAAAUCGUUUGUUAGAUAUUUGUGUUGUGAAUAUCUUCUCCCACUCUGAGGGUUGGCUUUUCACUCUCUUAAUGGUGUUUUUGAUGCAGAUAAGUUCUUUAAUAUUUUAUUUAUAAUUCCUUGUGGUUAUGGAUUUUCUAUCACAGUUAAGAAAUCUUUGCUUCCCCAUCACCAGAAUUUUUUUUUUCCCCUAGAAACUUUGUUGUUUUGCUUUUAACAUCUAGGUAUCCAAUUUUCCUGGAAUUGACUUUUUCACAGAAUGUGAAGUAGGGUUCAAGUUUUAUUUUUUACAUCUGGAUACACUAUUCACCCAACAAUUGUUCCAUUGUUUAUUUGUGAUUCUUAUACCUUAUACUACAAUUUUUCAAUUAAUGUAAUUUAAAAUAAGCCUUGAUCACAAGUUAUAUGAGUCCGUUACCUUUGUUUUACUUCUUUAAGACUGUCCUGGCUAUUUGUAUGUAUGUGUUUCCAUGUAUCAAUUUAGAAUCAAAUUUUCAAGAACUAAUUUAAAAAAAAGCCUGCUAGGAUUUUGAUUGGGAUUGUCCUAAGUUUAUAGGUCAAUCUCCAGAGAAAUGAUGUCUUUAAAAUACUGAGUCUUUCAAUCCAUAUUCCAAGUAUAUUUUUCCAUUUAUUUAAGAUUUCUUAAAAUUUUUUCAAUACCAAUUUGUAAUUUUUGGUGUAGAUUUCUUACAUGUCUUUUAUUAGAUUUAUUUCUAGGUAUUUGAUGGUUUUGAGUUAUUUUAAAUGUUGACAUUUAAACUAUUUAAAUGAUAGUUUUUAACAUUUUUACUUAUUUUUUUUAAGAUUGGCACCUGAGCUAACAACUGUUGCCAAACUUCUUUUUUUUCUUCUCCCCACAGCCCCCCAUUAUAUAGUUGUAUAGUCUAGUUGUGAAUGCCUCUGGUUGUGCUAUGUGGGACACCGCCUCAGCAUGGCCUGACGGGCAGUGCCAUGUCUGUGCCCAGGAUCCGAACUGGUGAAACCCCAGCCCACUGAAGCGGAGCACAUGAACUUAACCACUCAGCUGUGGGGCCAGCCCCUAACAUUUUUAUUUUCUAUUUCAGGAUUGUAAAUACAAUUGGAUUUUACAUCUUGACAUUCUGUCUAGUCACAUUGCUAAAUUCAUUUGCUAAUUCGAAUAGUUUGUUGCUUCUUUUGGAUUAUUCCAUGCAAAUAAUAAUUUUAAUGUGUCCUUUCUGGUUCUUAAUUUCUUUCCCUAGCCUAUCAUACUGACUAGGCCCUUCUUUUGAAUAAAAAUGGCAAUAACACAAGUCUUUAUCUCCUUUAUAUUUAGGUGAUGAGUGGAAUUGUUUUGUAGACCUAUAGGUUCAUUUAAGAUGGUAAUAGGCAAUCUUUAGAGGCUUCACUGAGGUCAGACUGGUGUGUAUAGGAGGCUUAAUAGUAAAAAGUGGUUUUUACUGACAGCUAAAAGACUUGGGUUAUAAUCCCAGCUCUGCCAUGGCCAGGAUGUAUGAUUUUAGACAAGGCAUUUUUUCCUCCGCUGACCUUAUUUAAUGUAUGUGUUAGAUUGUUAAGGCAUGUGUAGACUGGUAAUCACUAAAACUUUUUUAACAAAACUUUAUAUAAUAAGGUGAAUCUGUGACAUCUUUGUGAAUCUGUGAUAUCUCCUUUUUAAUUUCAUGGCGAACACUUUCAAUAUUUUACUAUUAUGUAUGAUGUUGCUGUAGGAUUUUUGUAGAUGCUGAUUACAAGUAUGUACAUACCUCUCUCAUUGAUAACUAUGUAUUUUAACCCAUAUAGGUCUUUUUGUAAAUUUUUUAUUUAUGCACACACACACACACACACACACACACACACACACACAUAUGAUUUUCCCAUUUUUUUUUUUUGUCUUCCAUUUCCAUGUUUUCACAUGAGGUCAUUUUGCUUGGAUCUAGUGGAAGCUGGCUGACAACACAUUCUCUCAGCUUUUGCUUAUCUAGAUAUUUCUGUAUUUUGUUUUUACCUUAAAGAACAAUUUCACAUCUUAUAGAAUUCAAGACUGGCAGUUAUUUUCCAUCAACCUUUUAAAGAUGUUCCUCCAUUGUCUUUUAGUUGCCAUCAUUUCUGUUGAAAAGUCAGGUAAUCCUCUUAUUAACAUUCUGUUAAAGCUAAUGUAUCCUUUAUCUGUGACUGCUUUUAAGAACUUGUCUUUGCUUUUCAGUAGUCUUACAAGGAUAUUCUUAUGUAUAAUUUUAUUUGUUUUCUUUUCUUUUUUUUUUUUUUGUGAGGAAAAUUCACCCUGAGCUAAUAUCUGUUGCUAAUCUUCCUGUUUUUGCUUGAGGAAGAUUGACACUGAGCUAACAUCUGUGCCAAUCUUCCUCUACUUUGUGUGGAAUGCUGCCACAGUGUGGCUUGAUGAGCAGUCCUAGGUCAAUGCCUGGGAUCUGAACCUGUGAACCCUGGGCUCCUGAAGCAGAGUGCACGAACUUAACCACUACACCACUGGGCCAGCCCCAAGUUUUCUUUUUAUUUAUCCUGCUUAGAGUUUUAAACAAUUUUAAAAUUUGUAACAUAAUAUCUUUCACCAGUUUUGGAAAAUAUUUGGACAAUGUCUCUUCAUGUUGUCACUGUCCCAUUAUCUCUCUCCUUCCCCUGCAGGUCUUCAAUUAUAUAUAUGCUGGAACUUUGCACUGUUUAUCAUAUAUCUCCUAUACUCUUUGCUAUAUUUCCAAUUAUUUUUGCUCUCCAUAAUUCAGUGCUGUGCCUAGAAUCAGCAAAUGCUUGAGGGAGAAGAGGGCCUCAUAGAAUUAUGGCUCAUCUCUCUGCAGUUUUCUUUUCUUCGGAAUCUUGACCUCUCAAGUUCUGGUUGCCUCACUAGCUCUCUUCAAACAUAAUUUUUUCAGGUUUUGAAAUUUGUGUAACUUUUCUUAUUGCUCUCAGUCAGAGUGUUGGACUGUUGCAAGCUAUUUCACCAUAGCCUGAAUUACAAGUCCCAUGUUCCUUUUAACUCAAAAAUUUAAUUCAGCACACAUUUAUUGAGCUAUAAAAUUCUACAAUUCAGUUAUUCUAAGUACAAGAAGGUUCUCUCACUGAGAUUAUUCUCUUUCUGGUUGCAUAAUACUAAAUCAUUCUCUUGGAAACUUGACAGAAGUAAUGACCGCUAUCUUAUUUGAACUAGGCCUUACUUUGAUAUUUUUUAAGUGUAAAAAUAUGGAAGUAUAAGAAAACUAAGAGCCAGAGCCUAGUCAGUCUUUAUUGUUCCUCUUUUUCCUAGCCAAGGCAAUAUAUGUGGCAAACAAAUUAAAGGGGAGGGUGAUGACCAGAGGAUGGCUUCAAAGUGAGGAGAUGUUCUGAGCUUUAUUAUUUCUGUUAUGGGAGAAAUUACAGGUGAUAUUUAAUUAUGACUCUUUCAUCUGAUUGAAGCACCAAGGGGAAGUUUCUUUUAAUUCUUCCUGAGAAAUAUCUAAUAGCCAGUAAGCUGUAUUUCUGGCAAAAUUUUCAUUUUUUAGCUAAUUUUUUAAAACACUACAUGUGCUCUUCUCUUUGGCACUAUAUAUAAUUAAUUUCUAGUAGAUGACACACAAAACUUGGUGUAACUGUUUAGUAGUUACAGUUCAUUAAUUCUGUCUUUUUUCCUAGGCAAAGGAGAAAAAUAACUGAUAGAUUGUCAGUGAUAUACUGAAAAUAUUACAUAGUGGAAAAUGGAGACUUAUACAAUCAUAUGGGUUGAAGCAUUUUUAUUAGUAGUGAAAAAGUGACAGGAACCCAAGUUUUCACCUACGAGGAAGUUCAUAAACAGUGGAGGAGUAGAUCAGCUGUCCUAAAUGUGAGAAGGGAGAGGAGGAAAGUGGGGUGUAGUGGAACUUUACCUCUAUUUAUAACAUCUUCUAUUCUUAUCUGAUUGCUUUUUAAAAAGUAAGUUAUUAAAGUCAUACAUAUUUAUUGCAAAAUUUUCAGAACUAGAAAAAAAUAAAAACAAGAAUCCUGAUAAUAA